GAAAUAAGGAAACCAAAACUAAGCUUCUAACUUAAGUUUUAAGCAGUGCAAUUCUGUUUUUAUUUCU
rnacentral:tRNA from 1 species